rnacentral:rRNA from 1 species
GACGAACGCUGGCGGCGUGCUUAACACAUGCAAGUCGAACGGAAAGGCCCUGCUUUUGUGGGUUGCUCGAGUGGCGAGCGGGGGAGUAACACGCGAGUAACCUGCCCUUGUCUUUGGGGUAACUUCACGAAACUGGGGCUAAAAUCGGGUAGGAUCUCCUGCUCCAUGGUGGGGGUUGGAAAAUUACGGCGUUGGUGGAUGGUCUCGCGGGUUAUGAGCUUGUUGGUGGGGUAGUGGCUUACCAGGGUUUUGACGGGUAGCCGGCCUGGGAGGGUGGACGGCCACAUUGGGACUGCGAUACGCACCAGAAUCCUACGGGCGGCAGCAGUGGGGAGUAUUGCACAAUGGCCGGAAGUCUGAUGCAGCAGCGCCGCGUGCGGGAUGACGGCUUUCGGGUUGUAAACCGCUUUCGAAUGUGACGAAGCGUGCGUGACGGUAAUGGGUCAAGAAGCACCGGCUAACUACGUG